UUCAAAGGCUGCGAGAAAAGCCGCGGCUGAAAACUCAGAAGGGUGUGUGGGGGGAUGGGGGGGUGCGGACGCUAGAAAACCACGGAGGUGUCUGUAUCGACGGGGAUUGACAAGACUACCCACGUGAGGGAAGGACGGCCUGUGAAGGGCUACACGAGGAGGAGGACGGGCACGUGGACAGACCUCUUGGUGGAAACGCCGUCAAAGCGUUUGGCAUGGCGGGGUGACACAGCGGCGAGCGACACCCCCGGCGAUCAGCUCCCACCGCUGUCCCCUAACCGUCAACCCGCAGCCCAACGGAUAAGCGGGGAACACUGUGGCGGCUCCUCGGGGAGCGCGGAGGCCAUUUGGGCGAAGUUACCUCGUGAUUGACAGGAGCCGACGAUAAAGAGAUGACCGGCGUCGAGGGACGGCGGCCCUCGUGAUGGAGUGCUCACGGGGAAGAGCGACUAUUGAAUCCUCUUUUUAAUCUGUCCGUCAAGGUUAUUGAAAGUGCCGUCUUCGUUAUUGCAUGCCAGCCUUGGACUAGGAGGGGCCAUAACUGUGAAUCCUGACGCCGUCGCUACUUCAUUUUAGCGCCGCGCCCGCCUCCCCUGUCGGUCCGGUCCAGGUUACACCGAGGGAGCGCCACUCCAAACCCCCCAACACCCUAUUUUUCAAUCAAUGUUCAUCAGCGAGUCUGGCAAUAAGUUGUCAAUGGGAUUCUCAUUAGGAUUCAAGUGUGCUUUUGAAUAAUAUUCUAUGGUACUGAAUCACAAUGACAGAUGACAAGUGGCAGUUGAGAGCUUGUCAUGAGUGCAUUUUAAUCAAAAGAGGGGAUGGAGUCAAGGCAGAAAUUGACGUGUGUCUCAAACCACUGAGCGCAUGUUCCUGUUUUGAUUAAUAAUCUUUAGGAGUUAAAAAAAAAAACAUUUCAAUAGGCAUAUGGCACUAAUUUUUGUGAAUACCCAAAAUCUGUACUCGUUUUUUUGGUCUCUUCCGAUUUCCACUAGUUUGUGCAAAGCAAACUUUUUGGAAGGGAAAAAAAAUAAAAACACCCUCCUUCCUGUUCAUUUGUAAUAUUCGAGCUGUGUGGAUUGCAUGACCAACCAAAUGGAACUAAAUGUAAUUAAGAUCUACUCAAGGUUAAUUUGGUCAGUAAUGGUAUUAAGUAUGUAUGAAGUAGGCUUUUUUCUAAAUACCAGUCCAUUAAAUCUGUGUUAUUAAAGAACAUACUGAAAUGAGACCAAGCAUAUACACAUUAAAAAUAAUUAGUUUGUUCUGUGUGUGUUUCUUGAGAGAAGGAGCAGAGUUUAACGAAGGUGCGAUUUUAAUGUUUAUUAUCACUAAUUGUCUCGUCAUUCAAACAUGUUUUCUUUCUCCACGAUUUCUUUUCCUCUUCAUUUUGCACAAAGCAAGAUAUU
ensembl:lncRNA